AGCUCCAAUAGCGUAUAUUAAAGUUGCUGCAGUUAAAAAGCUCGUAGUUGGAUUUGUGGGAUGGCCGUCCGGCGGGGGGCCAUUUAUUGGUCCCGUUUGUCCUGGUUUUCGGCCUUCCCUUUCUCGGGUCUAGCGUAUUGGCUGGCAUUAGGUUGUCGGCCGCUUCGCGCCCGUCGUUUACUGUGAAAAAAUUAGAGUGUUCAAAGCAGGCUUAGGCCGUUGGAUACAUUAGCAUGGAAUAAUGAGAUAGGGCCACCGCGGUCUAUUUUGUUGGUUUGCACGUUGUGGUAAUGAUUAACAGGAACGGUUGGGGGUAUUCGUAUUCAAUUGUCAGAGGUGGAAUUCUUUGAUUUGUUAAAGACUAACCUAUGCGAAAGCAUUUGCCAAGGAUGUUUUCAUU
rnacentral:rRNA from 1 species